GAAAUAUCCCAUUAGAUUAUGCUGUAGAAGGGACAGAAUCCAGCUCUAUCCUGUUGACCUAUCUGGAUGAAAACGGAGUGGAUCUGAUUUCUCUGCGUCAGAUGAAGCUUCAGAGACCACUGAGUAUGUUAACAGAUGUCAAGCAUUUCUUAUCAUCUGGAGGAAAUGUCAACGAGAAAAAUGACGAGGGAGUAACACUGUUGCACAUGGCGUGUGCAAGUGGCUACAAAGAGGUGGCAUCUGUUAUCCUGGAGCACGGCGGGGACAUCAAUACAGCAGAUGACCAGGAAUGCACGCCCCUCCACCU